rnacentral:rRNA from 1 species
CCUACGGGUGGCAGCAGUGAGGAAUAUUGGUCAAUGGACGAGAGCCUGAACCAGCCAAGUAGCGUGAAGGAUGACUGCCCUAUGGGUUGUAAACCUCUUUUAUCAAGGAAUAAAACGCGGCACGUGUGACGUUUUGUAUGUACUUUAUGAAUAAGGAUCGGCUAACUCCGUGCCAGCAGCCGCGGUAAUACGGAGGAUCCGAGCGUUAUCCGGCUUUAUUGGGUUUAAAGGGAGCGUAGGUGGACUGGUAAGUCAGGUGUGAAAGUUGUCGGCUCAACCGUAGAAGUGCAGUUGAUACUGGCAGUCUUGAGUAAAGUAGAGGUGGGCGGAAUGCGUGGUGUAGCGGUGAAAUGCUUAGAUAUCACGAAGAACUCCGAUUGCGAAGGCAGCUUACUG